rnacentral:lncRNA from 1 species
CCUUCUCCUCCUCCUCUUUGAUGACUAACAUUGUCGCUACACCAUUAACUCUUAAUCUACUUUUUGCCUUUCAUAAACCAUUCUCUUUCGUCUUCCACCACUUGUUAACCCUACUUGUGCUUCUCAGUAUAUCCCAUAGCACCAUCCAUUUUCUUUUCUUUCUCUUAUGAUGUCCUUACCCUCUUGCAAUCUUGGGCUGCCACCUCUUAUGAUCUCAAGUCCUAGCAAGUUAUUUUCCUUUAAAAAAAAAGGAAGUGGAAAAAGAAGGGCCUGACCAUCAUGGUCUUUUUGAUAGCAUCCAUGGCAAAUAUGUUUACCCCACACCUUCUCUAUAUAUACCC